UAAAGGAAGCGAUUCCGGCUACGGAUGGUCAUGCGUCGCAUUAGCUUGUUGGCGGGGUAACGGCCCACCAAGGCGACGAUGCGUAGGGGUUCUGAGAGGAAGGUCCCCCACACUGGUACUGAGACACGGACCAGACUCCUACGGGAGGCAGCAGUGAGGAAUAUUGGUCAAUGGCCGCAGGGCUGAACCAGCCAAGUCGCGUGAGGGAUGACGGUCCUAUGGAUUGUAAACCUCUUUUGUCAGGGAGCAAAGGGCGCCACGUGUGGCGUUUUGCGAGUACCUGAAGAAAAAGCAUCGGCUAACUCCGUGCCAGCAGCCGCGGCAAUACGGAGGAUGCGAGCGUUAUCCGGAUUUAUUGGGUUUAAAGGGUGCGCAGGCGGAAUGUCAAGUCAGCGGUAAAAUUUCGGGGCUCAACCCCGUCGUGCCGUUGAAACUGGCGUUCUUGAGUGAGCGAGAAGUAUGCGGAAUGCGUGGUGUAGCGGUGAAAUGCAUAGAUAUCACGCAGAACUCCGAUUGCGAAGGCAGCAUACCGGCGCUCAACUGACGCUCAUGCACGAAAGCGUGGGUAUCGAACAGGAUUAGAUACCCUGGUAGUCCACGCAGUAAACGAUGAAUACUAACUGUCCGGGCAGAAUGAUGCCUGG
rnacentral:rRNA from 1 species